rnacentral:rRNA from 1 species
GAUGAACGCUGGCGGCGUGCUUAACACAUGCCAGUCGAACGAAGCACUUUAUUUGAUUUCCUUCGGGACUGAUUAUUUUGUGACUGAGUGGCGGACGGGUGAGUAACGCGUGGGUAACCUGCCUUGUACAGGGGGAUAACAGUUGGAAACGGCUGCUAAUACCGCAUAAGCGCACAGCAUCGCAUGAUGCAGUGUGAAAAACUCCGGUGGUAUAAGAUGGACCCGCGUUGGAUUAGCUAGUUGGUGAGGUAACGGCCCACCAAGGCGACGAUCCAUAGCCGACCUGAGAGGGUGACCGGCCACAUUGGGACUGAGACACGGCCCAAACUCCUACGGAAGGCAGCAGUGGGGAAUAUUGCACAAUGGGCGAAAGCCUGAUGCAGCGACGCCGCGUGAGCGAAGAAGUAUUUCGGUAUGUAAAGCUCUAUCAGCAGGGAAGAUAAUGACGGUACCUGACUAGGAAGCACCGGCUAAAUACGUG